rnacentral:rRNA from 1 species
AUGAACGACAUGCUGGGACAUGCUAUCUCUGAUUUAUGCCGCUUCAGCUUGGAUGAGUCUCCAUCAUGUGGAACCGGACUAGAAAACCGCGACAAUGAUUCCCGUUGCCCACCGCUAUGGAUCGUGCCAUCCAUGAAGAACAACUGGGACUGGAACUUGGAGGAGGACAUUGGCACCCCUGUGCUUCGGCCGUCCAUCACCCGGCUCCGCCCCGACCUCCCGCUGCCUGCGCCGCCUUCAUGCCUGCCGACUACCGCGCUGGCCGGCCUCGCGCACUCGCCGCGUCCGCGCGCCGCUUCGCCAUCCCCGCCCGCGAUGCCGGAGUCCGGCCCCGGCUCCCCGCCCCAGCGCUUGGCCCGCUCCGGUCGAGCAUCCCGCGAGCGUCGCCUGCAGCGCCUCCGCUCGCCUGGUCGGCUGCCGCCCUACCUUCCGGCAGACUCCGCGCUGCCUACCACCCGCCACGCCUGCCUGCGCCGACUGCCUGGUCGCGUCGCUUCGCGCCCCCGCCUUCGCGCGACCGGCCCUAGGUCGGCUUCCCGCCGCCAGCACCGGCUCCGGCUCCUGCCCGCUGCAUUCGGCUGGCCGGCUCCUGCCCGCUGCCUAGGCCGGCUACUGCGCCCGCGCAUUCUGCUGCCUGCAGAGAGAAAGAAGAUAGAGGGGCCGGCUGCCCCAGUGGCCGACGGGAAAAAGGGUGACCGAGUGCUAAAAAAAAGCCGACUGCCGACAGCCGACUGGCAGCGAAAAAGAAAAAAGAAAUAUUGUGUACAUGCAGCAUCAUGCAUGGCCGGCUGCACGCCCACAUACGCGGCCGCGUGCAUGGCCGACUGCACGGGCAGCAGUCCCCUUCUCGUCGCUGGCGGCGCCGCCCUCCCUCCCUCGCCCUCUCCUCCUUCCCUCAUCACGGCUGCCUCCACCACGCCACAAACCCCGGCGACGGCCUCAUGUAGAUCCCAUCCUGCUCCGCGUCGCCGCUCUCCCGGCCAUCUCUUCGUUCCCCCACAGCCACACCUCAUCCUCCCCCCCUCCCCCGGUCCCGUCCCCAGCCCCGCCGCCCGGCGCCACCUCAUCACCUUAAGCCGCCGCAGCCCAUGCUUUCACCCGUCCUCCGCCUCCGCGGCAGCCUCCUCGUUCUACAUCGACCGGAUCCUGCUGCCCAGUAGCUUCUCGCAUCCGCUCUCGACCUCCUCCCGGGACAAGGACAAGGAGGAGAGCCUCCCGCCCGCGCCGCCGGCGUCUGUGUUUGAGGCCGAGCUCGCCGACACCGUCCCGGUGGUCAAGGCAUUCAUCGGCGGCAUGAGGAUCCUCGGGACAUUGUGCGUGGGCAACAAGAACGGCCUUCUUCUACCACACACCACCAACGACCAAGAGCUCCAGCACCUCAAGAAUAGACUGCCUGAUGAGGUGGUCGUCCAGUGUGUCGACGAGCGGCUCUCCGCCCUCGGCAACUGCGUCGUGGGUGGAGAGGUGGUACGCUUAUUUCUACCGACAUCACCAUCUCUGAACACCAAUGCGUAG